GAUGAACGCUAGCGGCAGGCCUAACUCAUGCAAGUCGAGGGGUAGCAGGAUUAAGCUUGCUUAAUUGCUGACGACCGGCGCACGGGUGCGUAACGCGUAUGCAACCUACCUUAUACUGGGGUAUAGCCCGGAGAAAUUCGGAUUAAUCCCCCAUAGUACUAAUGAAUCGCUUGGUUUAUUAGUUAAAGCAUUGCGGUAUAAGAUGGGCAUGUGUCCUAUUAGCUAGAUGGUGAGGUAACGGCUCACCAUGGCUACGAUAGGUAGGGGGCCUGGGAGUGGUGUCCGCGACAAUGGUACGGCAACACGGACCAGGCUCCGAAAGGAGGCAGACGUGAGUAAUAUUGGGCACUGGGCGGAAGCCUGGACCAGGCGUGCAGCGUGCAGAAAGAAUCCCCUAUGGGUUGUAGACUGCUUUAAUUUGGGAAUAAACCUCUUUACGUGUAGAGAGCUGAAGGUACCAAAUGAAUAAGCACCGGCUAACUCCGUGCCAGCCGCCGCCGUAA
rnacentral:rRNA from 1 species